UGCGUAGGUGGGCAGGUAAGUCAGUGGUGAAAUCUCUGGGCUUAACCCAGAAACUGCCGUUGAUACUAUCUGUCUUGAAUAUAGUGGAGGUGAGCGGAAUAUGUCAUGUAGCGGUGAAAUGCUUAGAUAUGACAUAGAACAUCGAUUGCGAAGGCAGCUCGCUACACUAUUAUUGACACUGAGGCACGAAAGCGUGGGGAUCAAACAGGAUUAGAUACCCUGGUAGUCCACGCCCUAAACGAUGGAUACUCGACAUCAGCGAUACACUGUUGGUGUCUGAGCGAAAGCAUUAAGUAUCCCACCUGGGAAGUACGACCGCAAGGUUGAA
rnacentral:rRNA from 1 species